rnacentral:rRNA from 1 species
AGUGAACGCUGGCGGCGUGCUUAACACAUGCAAGUCGAACGAAGUGGCGAACGGGUGAGUAAUGCGAGGGUAACCUGCCCUCCUUUUUGGGGUAAGCCUUGGAAACGGGGUCUAAUACCGAAUAAAGGGGGAUGGGCUCGCGGCCUAUCAGCUUGUUGGUGGGGUGGGGGCCUCCCACGGCGGUGACGGGUAGCCGGCCGGAGAGGGUGACCGGCAACAGUGGGACGGAGAUACGGCCCAGACGCCUACGGGAGGAAGCAGGGGGGGAUAGGGCACAAUGGGCGACAGCCUGAUGCAGCGGCGCCGAGUGUGGGAUGAAGGUGUUCGGGUUGUAAACCUCUUUCGCGAUCUAACGGGUAGGUGGCGAAUAAGCGCCGGCUAACUACGUGCCAGCAGCCGCGGUAAUAC